GCCGGAAACAAAAGCAAAAGCUUCACAUUCUUCUAAGGAGUUUUUGCUUGAAAUCCGCAUCACUACCCCGCGACUGCACCGGCCAGUGUUGGUUAAUUUUUAACGCGUGUCGCCCCCUUGCGGCACCCGAGGAAAUAAGACGAACUCCCCUCGCGUCGCUCCCACCACACCAGUCUGCAGCGCUAACUGGGACGGAGCGGCUAGCCCCAUUUGUAGGAGGCGAGGUAAGGAGCUGCAGGGCCGGAGAGAUCGCUUACCGCCCCUCCGGUCUGAGAGGAACUGUGCAUCGGGGCUUUGUUUAAAGAGCAAAGGAACUGUGGGCGCCGGAGCAUCCAGUCGCUUGUGCAGAGCGGUGCGCCUAUGGGCCGGAGGUGGCCCCGUCUGGCCCCCAGGAGCGCUGAAUGCUGAGGGACGCCAGGCCAGAGGAGUAAGGUGUCUGGGGCCUCGCCGCUGGGAUGGUUUGGGGAUGACCUGUCGAGAGAGACCCCCCAACCAAGACACGGCCACCCGAGCUCCGAUUCCCGCCUCCGACGCCCCGUCCAGUCAAGCAGCACGCCUGCAAGUUUGCCGAGCCUGCCAGAAAACCAAGAACUUAAAGUUGG